rnacentral:rRNA from 1 species
UACGUAGGGGGCAAGCGUUGUCCGGAUUUAUUGGGCGUAAAGAGCGUGUAGGCGGCCUGACAGGUCAGCUGUGAAAACUCGAGGCUCAACCUCGAGACGUCGGUUGAAACCGUAAGGCUAGAGUCCGGAAGAGGAGAGUGGAAUUCCCGGUGUAGCGGUGAAAUGCGCAGAUAUCGGGAAGAACACCCGUGGCGAAGGCGGCUCUCUGGGACGGUACUGACGCUGAGGUGCGAAAGCGUGGGGAGCAAACAGG